rnacentral:misc_RNA from 1 species
AAAUUUUUAAAAAUUUAUUUCUUAGCAGCAAUUUCAACGAUAAUACACCUAAAAAACAAACAACAACUGAUACAUAGACAUUAUAAUACAUGUAAUGAACUUCUGGCACUAAGCAUCCAAAAAAUUGGUGUUGCAAUUAUCAAUUACCACUGAUUAUAUACAAGCCUAAGGUUACUUCUCCUCCCCCCAAGCAUACCUAAAACACAACCCCAAAAAGAAAAAUAUAUUGAAUGUUACUACUUAUGCUAAAAAUUCUUCUAGCAACACCACAAGCGUGGAGAGUUCUCAACUUGUCCACAAACUUGUCAAGAUUCUUCAGGACUAUACAUCAUCUGCAACAAAAACUCCUUGCGCUCCACAGCUGGGCAACCAAAGAAUGCCCUUACCCUCCCAGCAUUUGCGAUGAGGAAAGUAUAUGCCUUGUACCGCAAAUGCCUUUCAACUCCAAUCUUCAUCAAUUCUGCAAAUACUUCUUGCUCUGAGUAAACACGGGGGCGUCCUCUUUCUGCAAUAAUGUUCCCCUCCCUAAUUGCAUCUGCAACAUCUUUAAUUGCUUCCCUUAUGUUUUUAAACUCUCUCUCAAACAUAUCAACUUUUGGAGCCAUCCGUUUUUUGCCUUUCAGUGAUGUUGCAGACUGUGAAUGUGCUUGAGAAUCUGCCUGAGAAUUUGCUUCAACAGGAGUUGCUAGUUGACUUGUACCAUCAUUAAUCUCAUUUAAAUCUUCCAGAUCAAGAUGAAGUGCAGUCUCAUUUUGCCUGUCAGUACCAUCAAAAUAGCGGCCACUUCCAGAAAUAGCCAAUUGGCCUGCUUUCUGCUUUGCAUUAUUAUCACCAUUAGAUUUUGUCCUCUCUUUAGCGAAAAGUAAUACCAACUUAUCAUAAUGGGCAAUUUGUGUGGUCAUCCACUUUUUUGCUUCAGGUUUUGCCUUUACAAAUGCUUUCCAAGCUUCAGGCUUUCCACUAAACAUUUUUGUUUCUGGACUCCAUACAAAACCACUCGCACCACUAAAAAGGUCGAAGCACUCCUUAAAAUUGUUUUUGAGGCUUUUCAAACGAUUCUUCAGGUGAUCUUUCUGAAAUGGCAUGCCAAUCUUUUCACGCAAUUCUUUCAACAUAUUAUCAUAUGCUGCUGUUGUGAAAACAUUAUCAACCCUGUUUCCCAGCCUUUGUUGAUGAACAAGUGCAUCAAUGAAGGCAUCAUCCAUACGUUCUGUCCAUUUAAACACAUCCCUCUUAGCCACAUUAGUCUUCUUUGAUUUAUUAGCCAUUUCCCUAACCUGUGAAUUGACAUACAAGAUAAACAACAAAAGCAGUUAAAUCACUGAUUUUCACCUUUAGAUACAUAAAAUGACAACUUGAUACAGAACUUAUAAAGGCUAUUAAAGUGUGGUUCAAGAAAUAAUGUAAUGAUAUAAAAAAAAUUACAAACAUUUAGACAAGAAAGACUUGUGGUUGCGUCAAAACAACAGUAUAAAAUUUAGCUAUGAAGGUUUCCUGCAUCAAAGCAGUUUCAUUAGCAGCAUAAAAUUCUCCUCCCUGGCCCCUGCAGCCCUGCCCUUGCCCUACUGCAAGUAUACUCUUUCCCCAAUCCACAAUUCAAGUAAGGGC